rnacentral:rRNA from 1 species
GAUGAACGCUGGCGGCGUGCCUAAUACAUGCAAGUCGAGCGAACAGACGAGGAGCUUGCUCCUCUGACGUUAGCGGCGGACGGGUGAGUAACACGUGGAUAACCUACCUAUAAGACUGGGAUAACUUCGGGAAACCGGAGCUAAUACCGGAUAAUAUAUUGAACCGCAUGGUUCAAUAGUGAAAGACGGUUUUGCUGUCACUUAUAGAUGGAUCCGCGCCGCAUUAGCUAGUUGGUAAGGUAACGGCUUACCAAGGCAACGAUGCGUAGCCGACCUGAGAGAGUGAUCGGCCACACUGGAACGGAGACACGGUCCAGACGCCUACGGGAGGCAGCAGUAGGGAAUCUGACGCAAUGGGCGAAAGCCUGACGGAGCAACGCCGCGUGAGUGAUGAAGGUCUUCGGAUCGUAAAACUCUGUUAUUAGGGAAGAACAAAUGUGGAAGUAACUAUGCACGGCUUGACGGUACCUAAUCAGAAAGCCACGGCUAACUACGUG